GACGGGGUAGCUCAGUUGGUAGAGCGCAGGACUCAUAAGCCUGUUGUCGGGAGUUCGAUCCUCCCCCCCGUCA
rnacentral:tRNA from 1 species